rnacentral:lncRNA from 1 species
CUCACACGCUCAGAAUCCUGGAUCCUCCCAUUUCAACCUGUUCUUCUGCUUCCCAGUACCCUCUCCAGAAGAGGAUCCUGGAACUGAGAGAGGAGAUUCUGUCUUGGAGUUUGGCACCAUCCCAUUUCCCCUGAGUGACACUUCAGAAUGACUAGCAAGGAUGGUAGCCAACAUCUCAGAAUCUUCAGUCUUCGUCCCAGGUCUUCCUGAGAUCCUGAGGCUUCUAAGUGCUGCUAUUCACCCCUACAUCCCAGGUACGUAUAGGCCCAGAGGGAGCCUUCCAUCUUUGAGGGUAGAAUAUUCUCUGGGCACAAUACCUCACCAGCUGUCUUUUUCACAGGAGAAGCCUGGGCAGGAUUGCCGCAGCUGUUCCAAGAGGCCCCAAGGGACGGUGUCCACAUCAUGGUGUUUGUUCGUGGAAGAUAUUAAACGCUGACCUCUUUUUGAGCACAAAAUCCCUCCUUGAAGGGCUCUCUGUACCCGGUGUCAGGUUCAGGAACACGAUGUGGGCAUCAGCCCCUUGCUGAUGGUAUGUGAGCAGAUGUCUGGCCAGAUGGCAAGUGCUUUUGUUUAUUUAUUUUCUUAUUUUGAGACUUGAGAGUUUAUUGAAUGAAUCAUCCUAUAAUCCAAUUUCCCAAGGCAAAUCUGUACAUAAAAAUCUAGUUUCUAUCACAUCGCUUCCUUCUUAAUUGAUUGACAUAUUUGAGCAAAAACAUGUCUAGCA